rnacentral:rRNA from 1 species
GGCUCAGAUUGAACGCUGGCGGCAGGCCUAAUACAUGCAAGUCGAACGGUAACAUAAAGAAGCUUGCUCUUUUGAUGACGAGUGGCGGACGGGUGAGUAACCUGCCCUGGAGAGGGGGACAACAGUUGGAAACGACUGCUAAUACCGCAUGACACAUCGGGGUCGCAUGGCUCUGAUGUCAAAGAUUUAUCGCUGAAAGAUGGCCUCGCGUCUGAUUAGCUAGUUGGUGAGGUAACGGCCCACCAAGGCGACGAUCAGUAGCCGGACUGAGAGGUUGAACGGCCACAUUGGGACUGAGACACGGCCCAGACUCCUACGGGAGGCAGCAGUGGGGAAUCUUCCGCAAUGGGCGAAAGCCUGACGGAGCAACGCCGCGUGAGUGAAGAAGGUCUUCGGAUCGUAAAGCUCUGUUGUCGGGGACGAAUGUUGAGACCAAGAACAUAGGUUUCAAAUGACGGUACCUGACGAGGAAGCCACGGCUAACUACGUG